UCAGAGCCAUUUCUCAUUCCCUGUAACGUAAUCCACUUGGCUGUUUAUUCCCAGUACAACUGCUGGAAUCAACAUUGUCAGCUUUUCCCCUGACAACUUGCUUACUUUCCACUAAACAAACUUCCCUUGAGAAGAGAAGCUGCUCUCCCCUAUCCUCUUUCCCUCGCUGCUUCAAAGCCCUCGAGCAUUGCUCGCAUUUUUUUGCAGAACCCGCGGAGCAGAGGUGCUACCUGGUUAUCAGCUCCGCUCUUACCCUUUCCAAGUGUGUUUACAGGAGGGUUCAUGAGGGUUUAGCAACAACUCUCCGGGAAGGAGAGAGCAAUUUCAUUGUCAUAUUACCUAAGGAACUAUUUUAAUGUCCUUUAACUCCCUCUGAAUGUGUGCAGAGCAACUUCAUAAUUGUUAUGAAGUUUAAUCUUUUAUUUCAUAGACAUCGUCUGAGAACAUGGGCUCUAGACAGCUAAGCAUAAUAUUUAACUGGAACUCUACUAACUUGUGUAAAUAUUUCCCUUCCCCGUGAUGGAUCUGGUGUUUGGGGUGGGCAGAGGGUUGUACAUCUGUUGCAGAAGGGCAUUCCUUACCUUCCAGAUCCAAUCAGGCAGAGUUUGCUUGAGGACUUCUUUUUGUUCUGCACGUUUCUGUGCAGUGCCGGAGGGAGUCCCCGAUGGAAGGGCUGAGCAUGCAGGGAUGGAUUGUCCAGGGAUCCCCAAAAAGAAGCCCCUUGGUCUCAUGCAGUGCAUGCUCUGCUCUGAGUGUGGCUCUGCAGACCUGCUGCAGUGUAAGCCAGGAUGCACUCAGCAGUUGCACACAGUCCCCAGCGUGCUCCCAGCCACCAGGCAGGCUGUGUGCCUGCACUGGGAGUUCGGCUGCUCCCAGCAGCAGGUACCUCCCAGGUAAGAGUGUCUUAAAAUGCAAUGUGUUUUCUGCGCUAAGACGCAACUGAGACUGAGUGAAAGCAGGCAGGCUUUCUGGCUCUUGCUCCUCCAGGAACACAUGUUGCGCUCUGGCUUAGGCCACUUCAAUUCCUCUAGAUAAGCAUGAGCUCUCCUCUGCUCCUGUCUGCAGCUUUCUCUUGCAUCUUGCAUUUGUUUUCUGUAUGUGAUCUCUGCAGGCUUACCACACCUGCCUCCCUGAGAUGAGUGAUAGCCUUUGAUCUGUGACAGUGCUCUUCAAAUGCUGUAUAACAUUUUGAGGCUUAUUAAUCUUCACUGCUUCCCCAUGCUGCUGGGAGAUAGGUAUCUCGUUUCACACGUCAGCAUCUCCUGUGCUUGUGGGGCAACUGUGAUGGAGCGGGAGGACACAUGGAGCUGCCUGCCCUAUGGAAACCACUGGUGGGAUGGGAGAGAAUGGUGGAUCCUGCCCUAGGCCACACAAAUUGGUUUCGGCGCUGUUAUUAAGUAAAUUCCAUUAAGCCUAAUGGAAGGGGGAAUUGCUCAGGAGGUCAACAGGCAUACAUGAGAAACUGUCCCCUCCUGCAUGUGCAUGAAGUGUUAAGUGUAACUGAGCUUCCCAAGGUACAAGGAUGGACCAUAAAUAGUGCAUUUGCCUUCAGGAGUUCCCAUCUUGAGGAAACAAAACAAUGCCUCCCUCCUUCUAAACAGCAGAAAAAUGUCUCCUCUUUCUGCUCAGCCUUCUGCUUGUGGCUGCAAAGCAGAUUGCUUGCUGCACCAGCAGCUCUGUGAUGACAGCCCUCCAGGCUGUCCUACCACAACACAUCCACAUCAGAAAGACAGAGAACAACCGCAGGGUGGGUGUUGGGAACCCCCCCAUCACCCUGUGGGAUGCAACCCCCAAAAGCAGAGAUGGAGGAAAGGGCCCUUGUGCAAUUGUGUUCCCAGCCCCACUGAGAGACCUGGGAGACUCAGUGGAGGCUACUGGGAAUAGAGGUGAGAGCUAUAGGAGAGUGCCUUUCACCGUCUGUUUCCAAGUUGCAAUCGAGUGUUUCACACUGGCAUCCAAUUAGGCCUGUUAAGGCCAUUAGCUAACCCAAACCCUGCCAUAAGAGAAGCUGUGAGCCGCAUGGAAGGUUUUUCUUGGACAGAGCAGUUUUGGAGAUAUCAGCAGCCAGUGUGCGUGGAAUGGCAUGGAGCAGAAGUGAGGACAGCGUGUCUUCAUGAAGCUUUGCAAACAAGAAGCUGACUUGCAGAAGUAUGGUUUUCUCCUCUCUUCAAUAAUGUUCAAGCUAUGUGUGAUCCAACCCCGCAGAUGAGCAUGAAAUGUUCCAUCGUGUUUUCAUUAUUUGUUUGAAAACGGGAAUUGUCAAGAUCCCUUUUGCUUUAAUUACCUGAGGCUGCAGCACCCUGGAGUGCCUUUUUACGCUCUCCAGAAUGUGCCCUUGGGAUGGGACGGUCUGAGUGCUGCAGCAGAUGCUUUCGGAAGAAAGUUGUUGGCGUGAGCGGCUGAAAAUAGCAGCCUGUUUACAAGGCUGGUUUUGCAUUAUCAGCUGUAGUGCUCCAAUAAUUAAGGCUGUGAACUUAAUUAGCUCAGCACUCCAUAAUUCUUUCCCCCCUCUCUUGGGGCUCAGCUGCACACAGCUCUGUACUGCCUCAGCGUGUGCUGGGAACAUCCUCAUCCCAGGGGGCUGUGUGAACGCGGUACCACCAUAACUGCCCCGAGUGCCGUGCUCUGAUUUAGAGUACACAAGCCCUCCAUGGGGCUUUAGAGAGAGCCCAU